AGGAACUUAGGACUUAAGAUAGACCGGAAGCCUUCAAAGCUUUAAGUAGGAGUUAAAAUCUCCUAGUUCCUG
rnacentral:tRNA from 1 species